rnacentral:rRNA from 1 species
GACGAACGCUGGCGGCGUGCUUAACACAUGCAAGUCGAACGGAAAGGCCCUGCUUUUGUGGGGUGCUCGAGUGGCGAACGGGUGAGUAACACGUGAGUAACCUGCCCUUGACUUUGGGAUAACUUCAGGAAACUGGGGCUAAUACCGGAUAGGAGCUCCUGCUGCAUGGUGGGGGUUGGAAAGUUUCGGCGGUUGGGGAUGGACUCGCGGCUUAUCAGCUUGUUGGUGGGGUAGUGGCUUACCAAGGCUUUGACGGGUAGCCGGCCUGAGAGGGUGACCGGCCACAUUGGGACUGAGAUACGGCCCAGACUCCUACAGGAGGCAGCAGUGGGGAAUAUUGCACAAUGGGCGGAAGCCUGAUGCAGCAACGCCGCGUGCGGGAUGUCGGCCUUCGGGUUGUAAACCGCUUUCGCCUGUGACGAAGCGUGAGUGACGGUAAUGGGUAAAGAAGCACCGGCUAACUACGUG